UACGUAGGGGGCGAGCGUUGUCCGGAUUUAUUGGGCGUAAAGAGCGUGUAGGCGGUUCGGUAAGUCUGUCGUGAAAUCCUGAGGCUCAACCUCGGGCGUGCGAUGGAUACUGCCGGGCUAGAGGGUGGUAGAGGCGAGUGGAAUUCCCGGUGUAGCGGUGAAAUGCGUAGAUAUUGGGAGGAACACCAGUGGCGAAGGCGGCUCACCGGACCGGUUCUGACGCUGAGGCACGAAGGCCAGGGGAGCAAACGGG
rnacentral:rRNA from 1 species